CACUCUUCAUAAUAUUCAAAACUCUAAGCUUCUCUUCAAUGCUAUACCCCCUGCAAUUAAGCCAAGCAUCCCUUAUCUGACAUAAAUUACUGACCAUAUUAUUCUGAUGCUUCCUCAAAAGAUGGUAAUGCUGCCGCUUCUGAAAGAAACCCAAACCCUCUCUAUAAAGAGCAACCCUUGGCUCACACAACCCUCGUUUUAACAUCUCAAACAGCUUCUUAAUAGGGCUGCCAAAAUGGAAAUUCUGACCCUCAAAAAGCUCUUUAAGAGUUCGCAUAAAGGUGCCCUGAUCCAAAUCAGGCAGAUAUUUAGUGAGGCUAAAUCUCUCCUCGUCAGUUAAAACUUCA
rnacentral:misc_RNA from 1 species